ensembl:snRNA U4 U4 spliceosomal RNA
AGCUUUGCACAGUGGCAGUAUCAUAGCCAAUGAGGUUUAUCCGAGGCACAAUUAUUGCUAAUUGAAAACAUUUCCCAAUACCCUGCCAUGAAGACUUGCAAUAUAGUUGGCAUUAGCAAUUUUUGAGAGUCUCUACAGAGA